UACAGAGGAUGUAAGCGUUAUCCGGAAUGAUUGGGCGUAAAGCGUCUGUAGGUGGCUUUUUAAGUCCGCCGUCAAAUCCCAGGGCUCAACUCUGGACAGGCGGUGGAAACUACCAAGCUGGAGUACGGUAGGGGCAGAGGGAAUUUCCGGUGGAGCGGUGAAAUGCGUAGAGAUCGGGAGGAACACCAGUGGCGAAGGCGGCUACCUGGACCAGCACUGACACUGAGGCACGAAAGCGUGGGGAGCAAACAGG
rnacentral:rRNA from 1 species